rnacentral:misc_RNA from 1 species
AACGCACAUUGCGCCCUCCGGCACUCCGGGGGGCACACCUGUCCGAGCGCCAUUUCGACCCUCGAGCCCCGCUCGGCGUUGGGGCGGGUCCGCGGGGACCCCCCCGAAACUUGUAGGCGCCCCCGCCCGGGUCCCGGCGUAGCGAGCCAAAAGCACGCGCCGAGGAACCGGCGGGGGCCGCCCGCCCUUCCCCAAGGUUUGGCCUCGGAUCAGGUGGGGAUACCCGCUGAACUUAA